UACGUAGGGACCAAGCGUUGUUCGGAUUUACUGGGCGUAAAGGGCGCGCAGGCGGCACGGUAAGUGAGGCAUGAAAGCUCCCUGGCUAACCCGGGAGAGGUUGUCUGAGCCUGCCGUGCUAGAGUAAGGUAGAGGGAUGUGGAAUUCCACAUGUAGUGGUGAAAUGCGUAGAGAUGUGGAGGAACACCAGUGGCGAAGGCGGCAUCCUGGACCGUAACUGACGCUGAGGCGCGAAAGCAUGGGUAGCGAACGGG
rnacentral:rRNA from 1 species